CCAGGGAAAUUCACCUCCCUGCCACUCACCAUCACUGUUGUGUACCCCAAUGACUGGUACCAGCUGAGCCCUGGCCCCAUGGCAGGCUUCGGAGCAGGAGUCCUGCCGCUCUUCCUCCUGAGCAACCUCGGGGUUUAUUGUCUGGCCAGGAGAAUCCUACAGUGGAAAGAACUAGGGGGAGGGAGAGUCUGCAAGGGGACAGCAGAGAGGACCCCAGUGCCCCACAGAGAGACUCGCUCUAUG